GGCUACAAGGAUUCAUCUGUCUUGCGUUUUUCCACCACUGUAACUGGGUACUUGGAGAAAGGAAAACUGGCUGAUGUUUCAGGGAUUAAGACUAAGGUGAUGGUUUGGGUUAAAGUGACUUGUAUCACUUCUGAUGGAUCGAAGCUCCAUUUCACAGCUGGGAUGAAGAAAACCAGGAAUAGAGAUGCAUAUGAGGUCCUUAGAGAUGGAGUGAGUGUAGACAAGUUCUAAAGUGGUGAAAAUGCUUCCUAGGCAUGAUGAUUUUGUGAAUAACGACUUUGCAAUCUACUGGAUCCUUUUGCUUGCCCUUCUCAUUGGAUGAGUAGAGUCAUUUAAACUGAAUUCUUGUGUUUACCGUAGGUGCAAUAAAGUUAAUGAAUUCCAUUGUAUUGAUAUUAGAUCACCCAUAUAAACUGAGUACCAACACGCGAAUUAUUAACUUUAUUGCAC
rnacentral:misc_RNA from 1 species